rnacentral:rRNA from 1 species
AUUGAACGCUGGCGGCAUGCCUAACACAUGCAAGUCGAACGAGACCUUCGGGUCUAGUGGCGCACGGGUGCGUAACGCGUGGGAAUCUACCCUUGGGUUCGGAAUAACUCAGAGAAAUUUGAGCUAAUACCGGAUGAUGUCGAAAGACCAAAGAUUUAUCGCCCAAGGAUGAGCCCGCGUAGGAUUAGCUAGUUGGUGAGGUAAAGGCUCACCAAGGCAACGAUCCUUAGCUGGUCUGAGAGGAUGAUCAGCCACACUGGGACUGAGACACGGCCCAGACUCCUACGGGAGGCAGCAGUGGGGAAUAUUGCACAAUGGACGAAAGUCUGAUGCAGCAACGCCGCGUGGAGGAUGACACAUUUCGGUGCGUAAACUCCUUUUAUAUGAGAAGAUAAUGACGGUAUUAUAUGAAUAAGCACCGGCUAACUCCGUG